rnacentral:piRNA from 1 species
UUUGUUUCUUGUUUUACAAAG